CAAAACUCUGAGACGUGAUACCGAGCCGCUUCAGGCGAAGUCAUUGAUCCUAUGCUGCCUAGAAAAGCCCAGCAGCGAGUUGACAUGGUGCCCGUACCCCAAACCAACACAGGUGGACAGGUAGAGCAUACCAAGGCGAGUGGGAUAACUAUGGUUAAGGAACUCGGCAAAUUGCCUCCGUAACUUCGGGAGAAGGAGGACCCCAGUAGCGUGAUGAGACUUGCUCUCUGAGCGUGAAGGGGUGGCACAAAAUUGAGGGAAGCGACUGUUUACCAAAAACACAGCAGCGUGCUAAGCCGUAAGGCGCUGUAUACGCUGUGACUCCUGCCCGGUGCUGGAAGGUUACGGGGAUGGGUUAGUCCUUCGGGACGAAGCUCUGAACCUAAGCCCCAGUAAACGGCGGCCGUAACUAUAACGGUCCUAAGGUAGCGAAAUUCCUUGUCGGGUAAGUUCCGACCUGCACGAAUGGAGUAACGACUUCCCUACUGUCUCAACCAUAGACCCAGCGAAAUUGAAGUACGAGUAAAGAUGCUCGUUAGCUGCAGAAGGACGGAAAGACCCCGUGGACCUUUACUAUAACUUGAUGUUGUGUUUUGUCAUAUGUUGUGUAGGAUAGGUGGGAGACUUGGAAGCAUGGACGCUAGUCUGUGUGGAGUCAUCGUUGAAAUACCACCCUGCAUAUGGUGAGGCUCUAACCUAGACCCGUUAUCCGGGUUGGGGACAGCGUCAGGCGGGUAGUUUAACUGGGGCGGUUGCCUCCUAAAGAGUAACGGAGGCGCCCAAAGGUUCCCUCAGCCUGGUUGGCAAUCAGGCGUUGAGUGCAAUGGCAAAAGGGAGCUUGACUGCGAGACCUACAAGUCGAGCAGGAGCGAAAGCUGGGCAUAGUGAUCCGGCGGUUGCGUGUGGAAGCGCCGUCGCUCGACGGAUAAAAGGUACCCCGGGGAUAACAGGCUAAUCUUGCCCAAGCGUCCAUAGCGACGGCAAGGUUUGGCACCUCGAUGUCGGCUCAUCGCAUCCUGGGGCUGAAGCAGGUCCCAAGGGUUGGGCUGUUCGCCCAUUAAAGCGGUACGCGAGCUGGGUUCAGAACGUCGUGAGACAGUUCGGUCCCUAUCCUCUGCAGCCGGAGGUGAAUUGAGGAAAGCUGUCCCUGGUACGAGAGGACCGGGACGGACGCAGCUCUCGUGUGCCAGUUGUCCUGCCAAGGGCAUGGCUGGUUAGCGACCUGCGGAAAGGAUAACCGCUGAAAGCAUCUAAGCGGGAAGCCUCUUCCAAGAUGAAUUCACCCACAGGGUUAACCUGGUAAGGCCCGUGGUAGACCACCACGUUGAUAGGCCGGAAGUGUAAGCGUGGCAACACGUUCAGCUGACCGGUACUAAUCGGCCGAGGGCUUGAGUC
rnacentral:rRNA from 1 species